rnacentral:tRNA from 1 species
GCCUUCGUAGUGUAGUGGUCAGGACACUUGACGCCAUUCGAGAGCCCCGUGGUUCGAGCCCCGGCGAGGGCA